rnacentral:lncRNA from 1 species
GAAAGUUCACCACAAUAAUCUUUACAAAAGAGAUAUAGCGAAGAUAAGCAAGACAUAAGCACGAAGUCCUUUAUUUACAAUAAGAAUACUGACUGAAUAUUGGAUCAAUUUUAUGGAGAAACACUACAGAACAAAAUUUUAAUUCAAGUGGAGUUGAGGGGUAUUUUUCAAUAAAAAUAUAGUAAGCACUGCCUCAAAAAUUAUUUAACUACUUGACAUUGUUCAAAAACCAUGAUUCCCAACUAUCUCCAAACUAAUCCUCGAAAUCAAAAUUUUCAUUAUAUUCAUCUUCAUACCCGUAAGGCAUCGCAUCAUUAUGAUGACUGUAUAUAAAAUCAUCUUCGCCACAAAUGAUCUGCUGUUGAUCUUCAUCUUCAUCAUAAUUGCCCUCUUCAGAUCUUUGCAUUUUGGAUGUGGUAAUGCUUUCGUUCUGUGAAUAAUCAUUUCUGCAAGAAUCAAGUUUCAAAUCGAUGAUGUGUGCCGUACCAGAACGUUGUUCUUGAAAUGAUAUCUAAAACAAGAAAUGCAAAGAAUCCUUAAUCUAGUUACAUGUUGGUUUUACACUUUCCGACCCAAUAAAAACGAAACCAAAACAAAAGCAUAAAAUACAUACCAUAUCAUCAUUUAGGUGUCUCAAAG